rnacentral:rRNA from 1 species
CAGAGAUUUUAGCUCGUACCUUUUGCAUCAUGAUUUAGCCAGAAAAAGCCAAGCAAAGAGCACUUUAGUUUGACUUCCCGAAACUAAGUGAGCUACUCCAAGACAGCCUAUUAAUAGGGCGAACCCGUCUCUGUGGCAAAAGAGUGGGAAGAACUUUGAGUAGAGGUGACAGACCUACCGAACUUAGUUAUAGCUGGUUGCCUGAGAAUUGGAUAGAAGUUCAGCCUCCCAGCUUCUUUUUAAACUGAGAGAGUUAAUCAAAGGGGGUACAGCCCCUUUGAUAUAAGACACAACUUUUCCAGGAGGAUAAAGAUCAUAAUUAAACUAAAGGUAAAAUGUUCUGGUGGGCCUAAAAGCAGCCAUCCCUACAGAAAGCGUUAAAGCUCAGACAUACUAUCCUGAUAACUCAAUCUUAUUCCCCUAAUCCUACCAGGCCGCCCCAUGCAAACAUGGGAGUGACCAUGCUAAUAUGAGUAAUAAGAGAGAGCUCUCUCCCUGCACACCUAUACAUCGGAACGGACCACCCACCGAAUAUUAACGGCCCCAAACAAAGAGGGUAAUGAACAACAACCAGAAAAACAUCCACCGUUAAACCCACACUGGAGUGCUCUCAGGGAAAGACUAAAAGAAAGAGAAGGAACUCGGCAAACAAGCCUCGCCUGUUUACCAAAAACAUCGCCUCUUGCAUGAAUAAGAGGUCCCGCCUGCCCUGUGACUAUAAGUUUAACGGCCGCGGUAUUUUGACCGUGCGAAGGUAGCGCAAUCACUUGUCUUUUAAAUGAAGACCUGUAUGAAUGGCAUAACGAGGGCUUAGCUGUCUCCUCUUUCAAGUCAAUGAAAUUGAUCCCCCCGUGCAGAAGCGGGGAUAAUAGCAUAAGACGAGAAGACCCUAUGGAGCUUUAGACACCAAGGUAGAUCAUGUUAAACACCCCCAAUCAAGGGGCCAAACCAGAUGAACCCUACCCUAAUGUCUUUGGUUGGGGCGACCGCGGGGAAAUACAAAACCCCCAUGUGGACUGGGAACACUCCUACAACUGAGAGCUCCCGCUCUAAUAAACAGAAUUUCUGACCAACAAGAUCCGGCAAAGCCGAUCAACGGACCGAGUUACCCUAGGGAUAACAGCGCAAUCCCCUUUUAGAGCCCAUAUCGACAAGGGGGUUUACGACCUCGAUGUUGGAUCAGGACAUCCUAAUGGUGCAG